AAUGGUUUUGUCAACAGGUACGAAAGUUUAAAAGGGAAGUUCGGUGAAAAACCGACGCGGUCCCGCCGCUGUAACCGGGAACGAUGUUUGCAAAAUGCCACUGGGAAACCGGGAAGGCGCAAACGAAGGAUGAACCGGAAGCCAGAAGACCUGCCUGUGAUAC
rnacentral:ncRNA from 1 species